UACUUCGAAGGGGCUGGUUUCAGUAGGUACUGAUGACUUGUCUCGUCAAAAUUGUACGAGGGAGAAUGGGGGAGAAAAGUGUAACCUCCUUAACCUCCUAGUAGAAACCCCGGAGUUAAACAAAGACUCCGUGAACGCAGACUAUUGGGGGGUAACUUCUAUGCUAAAUAAUUGUUGUGGCUGGGACGACCUUAACUAGUAGUUUAACGAGUUGAUCCCCUCCUUUAAUUUAGAUGAGAACAUUAAGAUUAGAGAUUCUCACCACCAUGUGGACUUUGGGCCUUACCAGAUGAUCUUCUUGUUUUCCGGAAGUCUCUACGACCUGACCUAAAAAGUUUUGUCUACGACUACGGUAGGAUAGUCCCAACACUCGCCGUGAUGGUAUGACGUUCCCCAGACCUUGCGCCCAUAAAACCUUGCCGUUGAAGUGGUAGAUAUACCGGUAUGUUCAGGGGUGUAUUGUUCAGUCGUACCCAAGUCUAUUGAAACUUUUGUCUAAGUCGUUUCCGUGUAUCCCCCGUAGUUCAAUAAAACCGACGUUGUCGUUCUGGGACGGUACGGUUCAGGAACCUCCGUAUACCAAAGCAUCCCAGGUAGUACGGCGGAUACGACACGAACGCGUGUAGCACAGGCGUAUACGAGGCCUCGGCACUGAGGAGGUAGCCGCGGUGACCGAUAGGGUUCAUGAGCGGAAGAGGAGGAGGGUGGUACUGAUGCCAACUUGUUAGCUCCUCCGGCUCCCUACUGAUAUAACCCCAGCACUACCUAACCGACUACCUACACUAACUACUCAAGUUUGAAGACCGACUGUGUGAAAUGGAAGACUAAGUAUAUAACCGGUUAAGGAGCGUCGCCCUGUUCAACUCAAAGAACCACAGCGAAGUAAUGAACAACGACAAAACGGGUACAACGUUCUAGAAUCCUGGAGAGUACAAACCCUAAGGAGGAAAGAUGAAACAAUCUUAUGUUAACGUCCUUAGUGUCGUUCGUCCUGAUCCAUCAACAGGCCGUUCUGGCCGGCGUCUCCACUUUGACUCGUCGUGGCAUCAACCAGCAUUGGAUGUCUCGCGGGCGCAGGUCGUGUUUUCCUCUAGGUCCUUCCUCCGCUCAGACAGGGUGCCGCAGCGACAGGUCUCCUCGUGUAUACUAGGAGUAUUAUCGUACAAACAUUACUUAAGACCUUGGUUAGCCCUCUAAUUUUAGUCGUUUCGUAUAAGUAGGCAGGUCGAUCGGGUGGGUUUAGGGAGUGAGGGGCGCACGCAGAGGAGAAGGAAGGGAGUGCAGCGGCGGCCGGGUAUAGCUUCUGUCUCUCUUUCUCGUCCCGUGAGUGCGUUGGGAAAGAGUGACGGCCGAGCAGAGGGGAGGGUGGAGUCGCGGCGACGGAGACAGACGAGGCGGAGUGAGAGGAGGCAGGGAGUCGCGCGGUGCGGUAGAGGUGUCCCAGGUCGGAGGUGGCUUCGGCUAGAGAGGCGACUCGUGCGGGGCGUGGCGGCAACGACAGCACCCGAGGAGCCGUGGCGACGUCUGCCCCUCCGCCGGACACCCUCCCGGGAUUUACACCGGCUGCUGAGGUAGGGGCGAGCGUACACCGCCGCCGGUCGGGUCGAGGCGGAGAAGGCUGGGUAGAAGAACCCGUAGUAACCAUCACUUCCUCCUGAGAACGUCCACGAUGCACUGAAGUGACCAGCGCAAUAACUGACCCUAAAGCUCAUGCUGUUGAAGUGUUUUUUACAAAGUUUAAAAUAGGGUGAACUAAAGGUCAAACUUGAAACCAGCUUCUUGAACCAAUAAGAACAAGACUAACAACUGUGUAGAAGCGGCGCCUCGAGCUUCCGACGAUGAUAAUGAAGAACGCGGUAAUAAACCGUUGCAUGACGACGCCACAGGUCUCUACUGUGGUAAUCAAACCAACACCGCGGUUGACCGAUAGAGCUGUUGUAACUGCGACUUCAAUAGCUCGGAGGCUUCUUACCCUACGGUUCCCAAGUAUUAACAGCAGGUUGAACGUCGUCACUUAACCCAUUGUAUUCUACGGAACGAAACCUCUUCCAACCGCGGAGAGAUCUCCAAGACAUU
rnacentral:rRNA from 1 species